UACGAGUGCCUCAAGCGUUAUCCGGAAUCAUUGGGCGUAAAGGUUGUGUAGGUGGUUGUAUUAGUCUCUUGUUAAAUUCUUCGGCUUAACCGGGGGCAUGCAAGGGAAACGGUACAACUAGAGGAUGCGAGGGGUCUGCGGAACUCAUAGUGUAGCGGUGAAAUGCGUUGAUAUUAUGGGGAACACCAAAAGCGAAGGCAGCAGACUGGAGCACUCCUGACACUGAAACAAGAAAGCGUGGGUCGCGAAUGGG
rnacentral:rRNA from 1 species